rnacentral:lncRNA from 1 species
GCCUGAUGGCAUCAUCUGAGAUCAGGAUCCAGGAGGCAGGUGUUGGUGACAGCCAGCGAGGGCAUCUGAUACCUUCCUGAUCAGCUGCUGUAGGUGUCAGUGGCAAAGCAGGGAGGAAAUGACAAUCAGGCCCCUCCAGUGCAGCUCAGGGAGGAGGCUCUCCUCUUGUCGGCGCCUCCCGUUGCCCUUCUUGGGAGGUCAGGCACAGGCCUCUCCAUGGUCACGUGGCCUCCCGUAUUGCUAAAGUUGCUGCCUAGAGGGGUGAGAGCUCGCCCCAUUUCGCCAAACGGAGCCAGAGUUCACAUUGGUGGCUCUCACACGGCUGGACCAUUUGAGCUCCUCUCUGCCCACUGGUGCCACCGUCCUGGCACUGAGGGCUUCCCAGGCAUAGAAGUGGUGCUAGCACUGCCAAACCUGCCUGGUGGAGCACAGUCUGGACCCGAAGAGCCAGUGGUGAGAGGGGAAAGGGGAAGGAAAACAGAGAAGCAAAGGAUCUAGAAGAAACAGCCCAGCAAAGCACCAGGCA